CCUACGGGAGGCAGCAGUGGGGAAUAUUGGACAAUGGGCGAAAGCCUGAUCCAGCAAUGCCGCGUGAGUGAUGAAGGCCUUAGGGUUGUAAAGCUCUUUUACCAGGGAUGAUAAUGACAGUACCUGGAGAAUAAGCUCCGGCUAACUCCGUGCCAGCAGCCGCGGUAAUACGGAGGGAGCUAGCGUUGUUCGGAAUUACUGGGCGUAAAGCGUGCGUAGGCGGUGAUUCAAGUCAGAGGUGAAAGCCUGGAGCUCAACUCCAGAACGGCCUUUGAAACUAGAUCGCUAGAAUUAUGGAGAGGUAAGUGGAAUUCCGAGUGUAGAGGUGAAAUUCGUAGAUAUUCGGAAGAACACCAGUGGCGAAAGGCGACUUACUGGACAUAUAUUGACGCUGAGGUACGAAAGCGUGGGGAGCAAACAGGAUUAGAUACCCUGGUAGUCCACGCCGUAAACGAUGAUAACUAGCUGUUCGGGCUCUCAGAGCUUGAGUGGCGCAGCUAACGCAUUAAGUUAUCCGCCUGGGGAGUACGGUCGCAAGAUUAAAACUCAAAGGAAUUGAAGG
rnacentral:rRNA from 1 species